GAGACCACUACAAAAUACAAAACAGUAAAUGUGAAAACCGAAACAGUCCUAGCUGGUGCAAUGACACAGACAGAAGACCACCACCCACAAACCUCCCAAAACAAAACAAGCUACCUAAAUAUGGUUCCCAAUCAGAGACAAUGACUAACACCUGCCUCUGAUUGAGAACCAUAUCAGGCCGUACAUAGAAACGGACAAACAAUAUAGAAUGCCCACCCAGCUCACGUCCUGACCAACACUAAAACACACCAGAACUAUGGUCAGAACGUGACAAUGGUAGUCUGGCCAAUGCUGCUGAAAAUGUUUUUGGUUUGUUGUUGAAGAACCCCUUUCACUAUCUGGGGUACACGAGAGGGUCUACUUCUGCCUGAGGUCAGUUUCAUGAAGAAGGAUGAAAAGGUGAGGGCGUUCAAUACCAACUGGUAUCGAAAGUAUAGUUGUUUAACAGGGAGCCUUUCACCAAGUUGCCUGUAUUGCUGGCCUUGCCUGCGUUUUUGGGCAUGCAAGAAUUUGCUUUUAGAGGACACGACGAGAUGGACAUUUCCGCCGACGGGCAACUACAAGGACCUUGCAGAGCUAAGUCCCCUCCUGUUCCCUGAUUUAAGAGGUAAUGACUACUCUUCUCCACUACCUUUGUCAACUUUCUCCUGACAUGAACUGAAGCCACGUCUCGUGCCCGCUCAUCCAUUGGCGCAUUGAAUGUUCCCCUCCAAUUACUGCCUACUAGUUGUCUUUAUGUAGGUCAAACCUUCUAUCUGAAUGGACUGCUGACUAACUGUCUGGAGAAGAAAAUGAGGCCAUCAUCAGUUGAACAAGGGGGCCGACCAGCUCCAAGAGGUGGGUUAGGAUGGUCGAUGAGAUCAAGAAGAUCCAAAUCCUGAGGACCGGCAGCGUCCAGUGCUUAGCAGCAUGCUGGCGAGAGAACAGCCCUGAGUAUACGGUUAGAGACUGGCUUAAUGAAAUCUCCAUGACGGGCCGCUCUUCUCUUACGACCUUGGCUGGCCAAACCACCGCCUCUCACAGCCGGCGC